AACGCACAUUGCGCCUUCUGGUAUUCCGGUAGGCAUGUCUGUCUGAGCGUCAGCAAACACCCUCAGCUGAGUCCUUUUUUGGUACUCACGCUGGUCUUGGGCUCUGGAUGCUGGGUUAACCCCCGCGCCUGCCCUAAACUUGCUGCACGACCGCUGGCUUCGGCUGGGUCAAUGGAGUGGUGUUACAAUCUUCCAGAAGACCUCAACUGUAGCGCGGUGGCGUUAAACCUGCUGUCCGAAAGGACCGAAGUUUUGACCUCAGAUCAGAUAAGGAUACCCGCUGAACUUAA
rnacentral:misc_RNA from 1 species